rnacentral:misc_RNA from 1 species
GAUGAAGAACGUAGCGAAAUGCGAUAAGUAAUGUGAAUUGCAGAAUUCAGUGAAUCAUCGAAUCUUUGAACGCACAUUGCGCCCUCUGGUAUUCCGGGGGGCAUGCCUGUUCGAGCGUCAUUACAGCCCUCAAGCUUUGCUUGGUAUUGGACAUUGCCAGUUUCUGGCAGGUCUUAAAAUCAGUGGCGGUGCCAUUUGGCUUCAAGCGUAGUAAUUCUUCUCGCUUUGGAGAUCCAGGUGGUUACUUGCCAAUAACCCCCAAUUUUUUCAGGUUGACCUCGGAUCAGGUAGGGAUACCCGCUGAACUUAAGCAUAUCAAUAAGCGGAGGA